rnacentral:rRNA from 1 species
GACGAACGCUGGCGGCGUGCCUAAUACAUGCAAGUAGAACGCAGUUCCGAACGGGUGAGUAACGCGUAGGUAACUUCCUCAUAGCGGGGGAUAACUAUUUGAACCGAUAGCUACUACCGCAUCCUGUGAGAUGGACCUGCGUUGUAUUAGCUAGUUGGUGCGGUAAAGGCUCACCAAGGCGACGAUACAUAGCCGACCUGAGAGGGGGAGCGGCCACAAUGGGACUGAGACACGGCCCAGACCCGGACGGGUGGAAGCAGUAGGGAAUCGUCGGUAAUGGACGGAAGUCUGACCGUGCAACGCCGCGUGAGUGAGUAAGGUUGUCGGAUCGUAAAGCUCGGUUGUUAGAGAAGCGUUAACUAGCCAGAAAGGGACGGCUAACUACGUGCCAGCAGCCGCGGUAAUUC